GGUCCCGUAGCUCAGCAGGAUAGAGCGCAGGAUUCCUAAUCCUGAGGCCAUGAGUUCGAAUCUCAUCGGGGCCACCA
rnacentral:tRNA from 1 species